rnacentral:tRNA from 1 species
UCUAAUAUGGCAGAAUAGUGCAUUGGAUUUAAACCCCAAGUAUAAAGGUUUCCUUUUUUUAGAA